AUGGAAGGAGAGGCGCAGUCGCCGCUGGGUCUGGGCGGAACGGGGGGCGACGCGCAGCCGCCGCUGCGUCUGGACGGAACGGAGGGCGACGCGCAGCUGCCGUCGGCGUGUGUGUCCAAGGUGCUCGACGACGACAACCUCCUGACGGAGAUCAUCGUCCGCGUCGGCUUCCCCACCAGCCUCGUGCGCGCCGCCGGCGUCUGCAGGCGCUGGCUCAGCCACGCCUCCGAUCGCGCUUUCCUCCGCCGUUUCCGCGAGCUCCACCCGCCCACACUCCUCGGCUUCUACAUCAAAGGCCUCCAUAAGGGGGCCACACGCUUUGUCCCAAUGCUGCCUCAGCCCCCGGAGCUCGCUGCCGUCAUCCGCCGCACAGACUUCCGCUUGGACACCUACGACUCAGAUACCAAUCAGAUGUUGAUGGCGGUCUGCCGGAACGGCAGCGUCGUCACCAGCUGGCACAAGGUAAAAAGCCCCAGAGAUGAAAUUGCAUUUACAGUGCAAUACCCGCUGUGCUAUGGUAGAGAUAUGACCAUCCUCCCAGGAUUAAGCCUCACAAUCGAGGAAUCCGGACUUGGUUGCAGAGCUGUGCUGUCCGGCAACAAAAUCUAUGCGGUGAGCUCAAUGAAAGACAUUGUUGUCGUGGAUUUGAAGGCCUCAAUCUCAUCGACAAUUCCGGCCCCACACGGGGUGGAUUUUGAACUACUGGACACCGUCAUGUUGCCGCGGGCUGAUGAUGGUUCUGGUGUGUAUCUCAUCCAUAUCAAGGAGCUUCAACUUCACAUCUGGCUCCACAAUGGGGACAACUGGUUGCUGGUGGACACCAUUUGCUUGACUGAAAUAUGUGCUGAUUUGCUUGAGGAUGAUUCUAGUGUUGAUUUCACGAUUAUCCAUGUGGGGGACUAUAAUGAGUUUGUGUUUUUGGAGAUGGAUCAAUGCAUACUCUACUUGGAUAUCAAACGCAGGACCCUGCGCAGAGUGUCAAGGGAGUAUGAUUUGUUUGAAAUCUAUCCUUUUAUGAUGAGCUGGCCUCCCAUCUUCCCUGUGCUCAUGGAUAGCCCUUCAAGAACUGAAAAUGGGAGGUGCACAAGUAUAGAACAUAAUGAGAAGAUUAAGAGCUGA
rnacentral:rRNA from 1 species